GACUCUGCUCUCCUCGUUUGGAUUAAUUCUGAUAUAAUAACUGUUGGUUUAUUUAUCGGUGGAGCAGCACAACAUUUUCCACAGACAGUUUUCCUGCCCGUUGGCUUGUUUUAACCAGUUUUCUGCCUUCGGCUGAUUCUACCAGCAGACACUGAAAGGACUCUGAUAGUUCGAGUGAAAGCAGCAGUUCCUCCUGAAGGUCAGAGAUUGCAGCAUCUGAGGGCCUCUUCAAAAGAAGACGUAGUUGAUGAAGGCGUUCUGGAGCAGGACCAGAAAGACCACGACCAAGCAGCCUUGAGAUCUUAGGCAGCGUCUCCCUCAGACCAAAGAACUACAGACUCUUCACAACCUGCUCAAACUCUUGGUACAGGACCUCACCACACGAGUCAAGAAGGUUUCCUUCUCAUUUCUACUCUGAAGCUCACCUUCUCCUGCUCAAACUGCUGACAAAUGUUUCUGCUGCUCGAAAGUCUGGUCUCCAGAACUUCCUAAAAACUCUCAAAGUCUCUUCUGCUGCAGGUUGCUUUGUAGAACUGUUGCAGAAAACCUCACUAAACCACAUGGAGGGGCCUCAAGAUAGUCGUCCAAAUGAAACGGUACAAAAACCCAACUAGCACAACCCAAACGCUAAAGUCUCCUGCACCCUACCAGAGAAGCUCUGAGAACAGAGAAUCAGGACAGGAACUCUUACCUUCUGGACAACCAACGUUGGUUCUCAAACAAGAAUACAGAAUGUGUCUGACCAAAAACCUCUAAAGACUCACUACAGCCAAGAUAAAGACACAACUCAGCUGUACCAAAUCCACUAAUCACUGCACACAUUAGGACCAUGUGCUAACUGUGGCUAAGGAACCACAUUUACCAAGACAACUAUCCAGUACAAAGCCCUAAAACACACCAAGAAACACAUUAAAGACGAUUUUACUGCUGGAAGCUGCAAGCCAAUGCCUAAA